AGCAGCCGCGGUAAUUCCAGCUCCAAUAGCGUAUAUUAAAGUUGUUGCAGUUAAAAAGCUCGUAGUUGAAUUUCGGGGUCAGCAAGUUGGUCGUGCCACCGGUAUGUACUGGCUUUGCUGAUUCCUCCCUCUUGUAGAACCGUAAUGCCAUUAAGUUGGUGUUGCGGGGAAACAGGACUGUUACUUUGAAAAAAUUAGAGUGUUUAAAGCAGGCUAACGCUUGAAUACAUUAGCAUGGAAUAAUGAAAUAGGACGACGAUCCUAUUUUGUUGGUUUCUAGGAUUGACGUAAUGAUUAAUAGGGAUAGUUGGGGGCAUUAGUAUUCAAUUGUCAGAGGUGAAAUUCUUGGAUUUAUUGAAGACUAACUACUGCGAAAGCAUUUGCCAAGGAUGUUUUCAUUAAUCAAGAACGAAAGUUAGGGGAUCGAAGACGAUCAGAUACCGUCGUAGUCUUAACCAUAAACUAUGCCGACUAGGGAUCGGAUGAUGUUAAUUUUAUAAUGACUCAUUCGGCUCCUUACGG
rnacentral:rRNA from 1 species